UCUUCUCUGGAGAAUUCCGCUGAUUCUCGUCCUCAUCUGGGACCAUCGCCCUCACGUAACCAUCACGUUUCUGAUGUGUAACACAUCUUACACAUUGUAUAACGCGCAAAAACUCGCGAAGAACAUUGUCAACACAGCAUCAUGAGUGGCGGUAGUGAGGAGAAGAAGGGAGGUCGUGUCCAACGGGGCGGAGAGGAGGAGGUGGGCACCUUCCAGAAGGUGCGCCAGCAUGUGAAGGAGUUCGUGGACGCUAGCCCAGAGCAGCACACGAAAUGAUUGAAGAACACGUUUGCCAAGGUAGUCUCUGCAAUACUUGGCUGAUUGCUGACAUGCCUAAUGACGAUGCCUCAGACUGUCUGCUACAGUACUACCUAGGUGUAUGUGGGCAAUGCCCUUCAACACCUUCAGCUGUUAAUCACAGAGAUGUUAUUUCUGGCACCUUGCAAGCAAUCUCGCUGAUGCAAUUGUGCGUGCACCAGCUGUUCAAUCGCCCGCCACCCAAGCCUCAAGUCCAUAGCGUCUUCAGGCUUCAAGUAGCAACAGCACAGCCUGAGGAUGGCAGGUAGCUGCGGUGAGGGGCACACGGUGUUUCAGCAGCUGGCAGACGUGCUCCACGUGCUCCAUGAGUCAAGAGGCCUCACAGCGGCAGCGAAAGAGAAGUGUGGCACCCUAAUCCAAUUUUGGUAGUAUCAGCAGCAGUGGCAGCAGUUACUACUAAACUUGGCCUUCUAUUCUCCCAGCAAUCAGUGCUGCCAGUAGAAUAAAGUGCGGCAGCGUGAACUGCUUUCUGGAGCAAGCAGGCGGGCUGUGCAGGCCAAUAAUAUGAUGGGUUCAGCUCAACCUGGACCGCUGCAUGCUUCCAGCGGUUGAACCUUGAAGGCCUUGCCUGCAUUGAGCACGCUGAAUUUUGCUCGUUCAACGAAUGCCCCGUCCUUCAUAUGGUGUUCAUGCCUUGAUGGCUGCGCACUGCGCUGUUGUAGAGAAACCAGAGUCUGGCAAGGAUGUACUGUUUGGAAAGUCCAACAUUGAAUGUUGACCAGCUUGCAAUUGCAUGUGCUAAGAUGUUCAGAUCGUUCUUGACUUGCUGUAGUAGCCAGACAUGCACAGUGCUCAUUGUGCUUGCUCGGCGCAAGAAGUGAAUGCAGAGUUUGCACGAGAUGUAAAGUUCAUGUGGGAAUACUGAGAAGUGCAUAUGCGCAUGUCGGAAAACGAUACAGGCCCAGAGGCAGCGUCCUGGCUGUAAGUAGUUGCAGUAUUGGUGCAGUAUUAGAUGCAGUCUGUGGUGAAAACUUCAAUUAGCUGUACAGGCAAUUAUGACAGUGUGGUAUCAGAUGCCACCACUGGUGUCAUGGCACUACAG
rnacentral:lncRNA from 1 species